AAGGAUUUAAGUUAAAUAAAACUAAGAACCUUCAAAGUUCUAAAUAAAGUUAAUCUUUAAGCCUUA
rnacentral:tRNA from 1 species